AAAUAAGCAGGGAGUGUUCAGAAGGGAACAUGCUGGCUACAAAUUCAGGAGCUGGAUGGGAAAGGCUUUGAAAUUGUCCCAAACCAGAGUGGCUGAAGCAGCCUGGGGGCUGAAAUUCCCUUUAUUCUGUGCUGCACUAACCUGCUGUGCCCCUUGUUCCUGCAGAGCUCCCUGGCAGAGACCCUGGACAGCAGCGGCAGCUUGGAUGCCCAGAGGACUGACAUGAUCUACACCAUUGAGGAUGUUCCUCCCUGGUACCUCUGCAUCUUCCUGGGCUUGCAGCACUACCUGACGUGUUUCAGCGGGACCAUCGCCGUGCCCUUCCUGCUGGCCGACGCCAUGUGCGUGGGCUUCGACCAGUGGGCCACCAGCCAGCUCAUCGGGACCAUCUUCUUCUGCGUGGGCAUCACCACCCUGCUGCAGACCACCUUCGGCUGCAGGUGAGCCUGGCAGCGGGAGUCUGGGCCUUCCUGGGGCACAGGAGGGCAAAAAUCCAUUCACACACCUUGGUAAAGAGGGGCUGCCUUGGUAAAGAGGGGCUGACUGGGGUGGCUUUAUUAAUUUCUGCUCCAGACCACCUUGGGCUGCAGGUGAGCCUGGCAGCGGGAGUCUGGGCCUUCCUGGGGCACAGGAGAGCAAAAAUCCAUUCACACACCUUGGUAAAGAGGGGCUGCCUUGGUAAAGAGGGGCUGCCUUGGUAAAGAGGGGCUGCCUUGGAAAAGAGGGGCUGACUGUGGUGGUUUUAUUAAUUUCUGCUGCAGACCACCUUGGGCUGCAGGUGAGCCUGGCAGCAGAAAUUUAGGGGUUCCCAGAACAGAGAAGCCUGGAGUGUUAUGGGAGAGGAGCGAUUCACACACCUUGGUAGAGAGGGGCUGACUGGGGUGGUUUUAUUAAUUUCUGCUCCCGGCCACCUUGGGCUGCAGGUGAGCCUCAGAACAAAAAUUUGAGGGUUCCCAGAACAGAGAAGGCAGGAGUGUUCUGGGAGAGGAACAAUUCAUUCACACACCUUGAUAAAGAGGGGCUGACUGGGGUGGUUUUAUUCAUUUCUGCUCCAGACCACCUUGGGCUGCAGGUGAGCCUGGGAACACAAACCCAGGGCUUCCUGGGGCACAGGAGGCAGCAGAGUUCUGGGAGAGGAACAAUUCAUUCACACACCUUGAUAAAGAGGAGCUGACUAUGUUUGUUUUAUUAAUUUCUGCUCCACACCACCUUGGGCUGCAGGUGAGGGCCUGGGCGCAGAAAUUUGGUGGUUUCCAGAAACACAAAACCAACAGCAGCAGAGCAGCAGUUAGUUAGGGUGAGCUUUUAAAAAGCUGCUUCCCAAAAAAAUGUGGAUCUGAAAUAACACAAGGCAUCCCAGGAGUGAGGAAAUCCAGCAGGGAGAGGAAACAAGGUGGAAGUGUUCCUGGGAGAGCAAAAAUUCAUUCACACACCUUGGAAAAGAGGGGCUGACUGUGGUGGUUUUAUUAAUUUCUGCUGCAGACCACCUUGGGCUGCAGGUGAGCCUGGGCACAGGCAGAAAUCCUGCUUGCCACUAGAAAAUUCCACAUUUUUAAGGAUUUAGUUAAGAGCCAAAAUCUUUAGGUGGUUGGUUACCUUUACUUCACUUUUUCCUUUGGGGAAAAAACCCUUCCCUCUAUUUGUUUUGUCUUACUGGACUUAGGAGUUCACUCCUCUGUCUUGAAAAGUUCACUCUGAUGGCAAAACAGCAGAGUGGAAGCUGUUGGAAAAGCAAACUUUCUUUCCCCAAUGUAUUUUCUUUAAGUAAAGACUCCCCAAGUCAAUAAUCUGAUUUCCAGCCUGGCUGGCUCUUGGUGCUGUAACCAUAAAUCCUCAUGUACCUUGUCUGAAAGUUUGUCAUAUUUGUUUUUUUUUUUUUUUUUCCCCUUAAUAAUCUUGGUUUUUUUAUCACUUACUAGAGAGGGAUUUGGGGCUCAUUCAGAGAGAAGGGUGCCCAAAAUCACAGUGCCAAAAUCACCGAAUGUUGAAAUUCUCUGUUCUUUCUGUGUAAUCCCAGCCCUGCCCUCGAUUUUUCCCUUUUCAGUGGCUCCCAACUUGCAUUGUACUUACAUUUCCAUAUCCCUGAAGGCCAAAUUGUGUUUGGGUCUUAAAAUAACUUGUGUUUGGGGAGGAAAUUUCCACGCUGGGAUGUUUUAUAACUCUUGCCCAUGUGAUGGGGGGUUUAUGUAAGGCUGGGAAUGGGAUACAGCAGCUCAGGCCUCUCAAUGAGAUUUGCAAGUAUUCAUUGGCAGGUCUGUCAACUGCAAAGUAUUUCAGCAAAUAAAGGUUUCCAAAGGUCAAAUUCCA
rnacentral:lncRNA from 1 species